GCCGCUUUAGCUCAGGGGUAGAGCAACGGUUUCGUAAACCGUAGGUCAUCGGUUCAAUUCCGAUAAGCGGCUCCA
rnacentral:tRNA from 1 species